AAACAGACUUGAUACGUUAUAUAUUCCUCAAGAAAAUUAUCUUUUGGUUGAUGUUGACUCUGUCCUUGCACUGACGAAAACAGCGCUUUUCGCGGUGAAGAUUUAGAGGCAGUUGCAUGUAAGCCUAUUCGAAACACUUUGCGAUUUGCAAGGCUUCGCUCAGAGAGCGAAACAGAAGACGCUAAUUGCCGUUUGAAACGAAACGAUCCGGACUCUGAAGCUCUCUCCUUUUGUCGAGUUCUUUACCAAAUGAAACAACUGAAAUAAAUUUCGUACUUUCCGCCGCCAACAAGAAUUGCACACACGAUCUGAUAAGUGAGACAAUUUAUUUAUAACAAUGGCGACAGCGAAGCACACAUUAUAAAUGCUAAUGUGGUCGCACGACUUCCCUCACGAUUUGAAGUUUUACACUGGUUUUCUGUUGAAAUUCGUCCUAAUUUGCCUGUUCCGAUUUUAGUUGAAAAUGAGCACUUGCAAAUUUGGACUGACUGCGUUGCUUGCUUUUUUGGAGUUAAAACGGAGCCAUUUACACAUUGUUUAUGUUCUGAAUAAGCAGAGAAAACACCGCAACAUUUUAAUGCGAGUUUGUUUGUUAAUAUUUGGGUGCUGUCAUUGGUUCUUUUUUGACAAUUGACGCUCGAAUGGGGCGUGUUAUGAAAAG